rnacentral:rRNA from 1 species
GAUGAACGCUGGCGGCGUGCCUAAUACAUGCAAGUCGAGCGAACAGAUGAGGAGCUUGCUCCUCUGACGUUAGCGGCGGACGGGUGAGUAACACGUGGAUAACCUACCUAUAAGACUGGGAUAACUUCGGGAAACCGGAGAUAAUACCGGAUAAUAUAUUGAACCGCGUGGUUCAAUAGUGAAAGUCGGCUUUGCUGUCACUUCUAGAUGGAUCUGCGCUGCAUUGGCUGGUUGGUAAGGUACCGGCCUAGCACGGCGACGAUGCGUAGCCGACCUGCGAGGGGGAUCGGCCACACUGGAACGUGGACCGCCUCCAGACUCCUACGGGAGGCAGCAGUAGGGAAUCUUCCGCAAUGGGCGAGAGCCUGACGGAGCGGCGGCGCGUGAGAGAUGGAAGUCUUCCGUUCGGAAAACCCUGUUUUUAGGGAAAAACCAAUUUGUAAGGAACCAUGCACGUAUUGACGGUACCUAAUCAGAAAGCCACGGCUAACUACGUG